GACGGAGGAUGCAAGCGUUAUCCGGAAUUAUUGGGCGUAAAGCGUCCGCAGGUGGCUGUUCAAGUCUGCUGUCAAAGCGCAGAGCUUAACUCUGUACAGGCGGUGGAAACUGAAGAGCUAGAGUAUGGUAGGGGUAGAGGGAAUUCCCGGUGUAGCGGUGAAAUGCGUAGAUAUCGGGAAGAACACCCGUGGCGAAGGCGGCUCUCUGGAACGCAACUGACGCUGAGACGCGAAAGCGUGGGGAGCAAACAGG
rnacentral:rRNA from 1 species